rnacentral:rRNA from 1 species
GAUGAACGCUGGCGGCGUGCCUAAUACAUGCCAGUCGAGCGAACAGACGAGGAGCUUGCUCCUCUGACGUUAGCGGCGGACGGGUGAGUAACACGUGGAUAACCUACCUAUAAGACUGGGAUAACUUCGGGAAACCGGAGCUAAUACCGGAUAAUAUAUUGAACCGCAUGGUUCAAUAGUGAAAGACGGUUUUGCUGUCACUUAUAGAUGGAUCCGCGCCGCAUUAGCUAGUUGGUAAGGUAACGGCUUACCAAGGCAACGAUGCGUAGCCGACCUGAGAGGGUGAUCGGCCACACUGGAACUGAGACACGGUCCAGACUCCUACAGGAGGCAGCAGUAGGGAAUCUUCCGCAAUGGGCGAAAGCCUGACGGAGCAACGCCGCGUGAGUGAUGAAGGUCUUCGGAUCGUAAAACUCUGUUAUUAGGGAAGAACAAAUGUGUAAGUAACUAUGCACGUCUUGACGGUACCUAAUCAGAAAGCCACGGCUAACUACGUG